rnacentral:misc_RNA from 1 species
AGCUCUUUGUUAUUCGAAUGAUGGGAGGAGGCAAACAACCUUGCCAUCUGUGAUAGUGAUAGGUGGUGGUGUUGCUGGAGUAGCGGCUGCUCGUGCUCUUCAUGAUGCUUCAUUUCAGGUUGUGUUGUUGGAAUCUCGUGACAGACUUGGUGGUAGAGUUCACACUGAUUUCUCAUUUGGUUUUCCUGUUGACCUGGGUGCAUCGUGGCUGCAUGGUGUCUGCAAAGAAAAUCCCUUGGCCCCUCUAAUUGGGAGGCUGGGACUACCAUUGUACCGAACUAGCGGUGAUAAUUCUGUGUUGUAUGACCAUGAUCUUGAAAGCUAUGCUCUUUUUGAUAUGGAUGGGAAUCAGGUUCCUCAAGAAUUGGUCUCUAAGGUUGGGGAAACUUUUGAGAGAAUUUUGAAAGAGACAGAGAAAGUAAGAAUGGAAUACAAUGAAGACAUGUCCAUAUUCAGUGCUUUCUCAAUUGUUUUUGAAA